rnacentral:rRNA from 1 species
UAGGGAAUCUUCCACAAUGGACGCAAGUCUGAUGGAGCAACGCCGCGUGAAUGAAGAAGGUUUUCGGACCGUAAAGCUCUGUUGUUGGUGAAGAAGGAUAGAGGUAGUAACUGGCCUUUAUUUGACGGUAAUCAACCAGAAAGUCACGGCUAACUACGUGCCAGCAGCCGCGGUAAUACGUAGGUGGCAAGCGUUGUCCGGAUUUAUUGGGCGUAAAGCGAGCGCAGGCGGAAGAAUAAGUCUGAUGUGAAAGCCCUCGGCUUAACCGAGGAAUUGCAUCGGAAACUGUUUUCUUGAGUGCAGAAGAGGAGAGUAGAACUCCAUGUGUAGCGGUGGAAUGCGUAGAUAUAUGGAAGAAUACCAGUGGCGAAGGCGGCUCUCUGGUCUGCAACUGACGCUGAGGCUCGAAAGCAUGGGUAGCGAACAGGAUUAGAUACCCUGGUAGUCCAUGCCGUAAACGAUGAGUGCUAAGUGUUGGGAGGCUUCCGCCUCUCAGUGCUGCAGCUAACGCAUUAAGCACUCCGCCUGGGGGAGUACGACCGCAAGGUUGAAAC